rnacentral:ncRNA from 1 species
AUAAAGUUUUGGUCCUAAACUUGCCGUUGUUUUUAAUCAAAAUUACACAUGCAAGCCUCCGCAUACCAGUGAGAAUGCCCAAAUACCCCAAACAGCCCAAUGGAGCAGGCAUCAGGAUCAACACAAACUUUAGCCCACAACGCCUUGCUAUGCCACACCCCCACGGGUCCACAGCAGUGAUUGACAUUAAGACAUGAGCGAAAGCUCGACUUAGUUAUGAUUACCACAGGUCGGUAAAUUUCGUGCCAGCCACCGCGGUUAUACGAAAGACCAAAAACAACAGCCCCCGGCGUAAAGAGUGACCAAGGCCAAAUCUAAAAAUUAAAGAAGAACCACCACCUAGUCGUAAAACACUACUGUAAAUGGGAACAACACCAACAAAGUGCCUUUAAACAAAAGACUGCCCAACCUCACGAAAGCUAAGAAACAAACUGGGAUUAGAUACCCCACUAUGCCUAGCCCUAAACAUUGGUGUUAUAAAUACAAUACCACCCGCCAGAGAACUACAAGCGAAAAUCUAGAAACUCCAAGGACUUGGCGGUGCUCCACACCAGCCUAGAGGAGCCUGUCCUAUAAUCGAUACUCCACGUUCAACCUUACCAUUUUUUGCCAAUCAGCCUAUAUACCGCCGUCGCAAGCCUACCUCAUGAGAGAACAACAGUAGGCAAGAUAGUUACCAACUAACACGUCAGGUCAAGGUGUAGCAUAUAAAAUGGCAGAGAUGGGCUACAUUUUUUAUCAUAAAAAAUACGAACAGCACAGUGAAACCUGUGUUCAAAGGCGGAUUUAGAAGUAAGACAGACAAGAAAGGCUGUCUAAAACCCGCUCUGGAGCGCGCACACACCGC